GCGCCCAUAGCUCAGUUGGACAGAGUACUUGGCUACGAACCAAGGGGUCGGGGGUUCGAAUCCCUCUGGGCGCACCA
rnacentral:tRNA from 3 species